GGUGGGGUACCCAAGUGGCAACGGGGGCGGACUGUAGAUCCGCUGGCGGAAUGCCUUCGGGGGUUCGAGUCCCUCCCCCACCA
rnacentral:tRNA from 1 species